rnacentral:rRNA from 1 species
GACGAACGCUGGCGGCGUGCCUAAUACAUGCAAGUCGAACGCUUCUUUCCUCCCGAGUGCUUGCUCUCAAUUGGAAAGAGGAGUGGCGGACGGGUGAGUAACACGUGCGUAACCUACCCAUCAGAGGGGGAUAACACUUGGAAACAGGUGCUAAUACCGCAUAACAGUUUAUGCCGCAUGGCAUAAGAGUGAAAGGCGCUUUCGGGUGUCGCUGAUGGAUGGACCCGCGGUGCAUUAGCUAGUUGGUGAGGUAACGGCUCACCAAGGCCACGAUGCAUAGCCGACCUGAGAGGGUGAUCGGCCACACUGGGACUGAGACACGGCCCAGACUCCUACGGGAGGCAGCAGUAGGGAAUCUUCGGCAAUGGACGAAAGUCUGACCGAGCAACGCCGCGUGAGUGAAGAAGGUUUUCGGAUCGUAAAACUCUGUUGUUAGAGAAGAACAAGGACGUUAGUAACUGAACGUCCCCUGACGGUAUCUAACCAGAAAGCCACGGCUAACUACGUG